rnacentral:rRNA from 1 species
UGAGGAAUUUUCCGCAAUGGGCGAAAGCCUGACGGAGCAAUGCCGCGUGAAGGAUGAAGGCCUGUGGGUUGUAAACUUCUUUUCUCAGAGAAGAAAAAAUGACGAUAUCUGAGGAAUAAGCAUCGGCUAACUCUGUGCCAGCAGCCGCGGUAAGACAGAGGAUGCAAGCGUUAUCCGGAAUGAUUGGGCGUAAAGCGUCUGUAGGUGGUUUGACAAGUCUCCUGUCAAAGAUCAGGGCUUAACCCUGGGCCGGCAGGAGAAACUAUCAGGCUAGAGUUCGGUAGGGGCAGAGGGAAUUCCCGGUGGAGCGGUGAAAUGCGUAGAUAUCGGGAGGAACACCAAAGGCGAAAGCACUCUGCUGGGCCGAAUUUUUUUGAACUUGGUUCAAAAAAAGAACUGACACUGAGAGACGAAAGCGAGGGGAGCAAAUGGG